CUUAUUUCCAUAUAUUAUUUUAUCAUUGUCCUGAAAUUUUACAAGCGUGGUCAGUCUACAUGCCAUUUGAGUCGGCAGCCAUAUUUUAAACAAUCUAUUCCUUUGUUCGUCAUUUAGGCUGUAUUUGUCCACAUUUGACUCAAACAUUCCAGCAUUAGUAAAUGCAUCCACUGACGUGUCAUAAACUGGAAUACAUUUCACAAUUUUCAUUAAUUGUUCAUGUAUUUUCAAAUUAAGUUUUGCAGCUCUGUCUUGAAAUUUAUAUUUCUGCAAAUCACUCUGUGAGGAUACAUUUUCAGUAUCUAUUGGUUCUGGGAUUAGAUUCUGUGUCUGUAUUUUUCUUGUAUUAACACACACUUGCUUAACUUCAUUUCUAAGCUGGCAAAUAAGAUCAUUUCUUAGUUCAACUCUAUCCUCUAAUUCACAAACUGUUUCUGACAAUGUGCUCUCUGUUACAUUGUUACACUGUUCAUUUAAAUCUGAUUUGUCUUCUGUUAACCCAUUCAAAUCUACUUCUUUUUCUGAUGAUUCUAAAUUUUCUUGAUCUGCAUUUCGUUUACAAAUCAAUGCAUUGUAAGUACAGACUAGUUUCAUAACAUUUCUGAUCUUUUGUUUUUUUUUCUUAUUAACAAACAAUUUCUUGUCAAUUUCACUAUUGGCAAUUUCACAUUGUGUGUAUAAAGAUUGCCACAAAACAGCAUCUGAAUAGCUGCUAUUAAAUGCAAACUGCAAUUUACUUUUCUCUGCGAUAUUCAUUUAUAAAUUCCACAAUUCAUUUGUUCCAACAAAAUCUAACUUUCCUUAUUCCAACAUGCCAAUAACCUCUUGCUUAACAACAUAUACAAGAUUACACAAAGUUCCUAACUAGGUUAUUCGUCCAGCAAAUAUACCUUGUUUCCCUCACAUUCCUCACUGAGUUUACAAGCAUUUCACCCAUUCACCCCACCCCCCUGUAGCCAAUACUCAUAGCAGUCAGAGCAAGAGAAAGCAACAAAGAAGGAGGGGGGAGGAGGGAGGAAGACUUGCAAGCACAAAGUUUUUUAACCAUGUGAUUGCCUAAGCGCAGCUCUCCUUAGGACAAAAGAUAGAAUAGGAGAGUAACGAUACAGAUUGUAUAGAUUACAAUUAACAUAUAUGGUACCCAACAAGACAUACACAGACAAAAGCACAAAAUACAGAUGUAAUUAAAUCACAAAGUUCUUAAAAUAAAUGCCGGCUUAUAAUAAAUCAAAUCACACACACAGAAACACUCAAGCACAUAAACCGCUCCUAUUUAAACUCUUGACCGAGUCUUAAUAAAACAAAGGAACCGCCAGGUUUUUUACCAAACGAGGCCAAAACAUCACUCACUAGCUUCUUUACCAAAGCUUAGCUAAAAUAAUUUUAUU